rnacentral:tRNA from 1 species
UGGGGUAUAGCUCAGUGGCAGAGCAAUUGACUAACAUGCAAAAGGCCCUGAGUUUGAUCCCUGGUACCAUAA